rnacentral:rRNA from 1 species
UACGAGGGGGGCAAGCGUUGUUCGGAUUUAUUGGGCGUAAAGGGUGCGUAGGCGGUUUGGCAAGUCUUAUGUGAAAUCUUCGGGCUCAACCCGAAGCCUGCAUAAGAAACUGCCGGGCUUGAGUAUUGGAGAGGUGAGUGGAAUUUCCGGUGUAGCGGUGAAAUGCGUAGAUAUCGGAAGGAACACCUGUGGCGAAAGCGGCUCACUGGACAAUAACUGACGCUGAGGCACGAAAGCUAGGGGAGCAAACAGG